rfam:Schistosoma margrebowiei strain Zambia genome assembly, scaffold: SMRZ_scaffold0003833
AUCCAGCUGACGAGUCCCAAAUAGGACGCAGUGGUGCGCGUCCUGGAC